rnacentral:rRNA from 1 species
UAGGGAAUAUUGGACAAUGGGCGAAAGCCUGAUCCAGCCAUGCCGCGUGAGUGAUGAAGGCCUUAGGGUUGUAAAGCUCUUUCGGCGGGGACGAUAAUGACGGUACCCGCAGAAGAAGCCCCGGCUAACUUCGUGCCAGCAGCCGCGGUAAUACGAAGGGGGCUAGCGUUGUCCGGAUUUACUGGGUGUAAAGGGUGCGCAGGCGGAUGGGUAAGUCAGGGGUGAAAGUCUGCAGCUUAACUGUAGAAUUGCCUUUGAUACUGCUCAUCUUGAGUGUGGGAGAGGUUGAUGGAAUUCCAGGUGUAGCAGUGAAAUGCGUAGAUAUCUGGAAGAACACCAGUGGCGAAGGCGGUCAACUGGCCCAUAACUGACGCUCAUGCACGAAAGCGUGGGGAGCAAACA